GGGCGCGUAGCUCAGCGGGAGAGCAUUCGCUUCACACGCGAAGGGUCACAGGUUCAACCCCUGUCGCGCCCACCA
rnacentral:tRNA from 1 species